GAAAAAGUCAGAGUUGAGACCCCAGGUGGCUCAGACCUGGCAGGGACAGGCAGCAGCCUGGAGGUCAGCGUGGCUGCAGCAGAGAGCAGGAGGGGACAGGUGGAAGACGACAGCAGGAGAGACAUGUAGCCUGUGAGGCCUGCAGGCCAUUGCUAGGACCUUUGACACUGGCAGAAGGCAACUGACCACACAAAUCCAAGGAGAGAUGAGGCUGGCUUGCAAAGAACAGAGAGGUUGCAAGAAGCCUGAUAAACAAGAUUGACAGACACCCCAGCGACAGAAUGAACGUUUGGACCUCUUGUAACAGACAAAAGAUGAACAUGGCUAAUAAAAGAGCUCCUUAUAGAGAUGUAUA
ensembl:lncRNA